UACCAUGGCAAUUAAAUUACGAGUUUUUAACAGGGAAUUCAUAUUAUGUGAGAUUCGAUCAUUUUGACAUGCAUUGCGAUCAAAGACUAUUAGGGUAGGCGGGGCAAGGCUGUGGCACCUUCGAAUCCUUAAGCAUGGCUUUGCUUUGUUAUGAGAAAAGGUUAAAGCAAAAUGCGAUGAUACCCCGGAAGGCUUCAACCCCCAUACACUUUGAAUGGUAAAUGUCCUAUUUUGCGUAUAUAUCCCAAACGGCCGAGCCAUCAAAAAUGUCAAUUCCGAAAUCCGCGGAUAGAUUCUAUGUUGAUCGACCACUUGCUGUUUGGAGCUUUGUUGCGCGCCUUCUUUGUAACCAUACAACCAAUUGGUCUUCAACUCUUAUGUGAGAACAAUGUAGCCAGUUGCAUCCUGAACCCAGUC
rnacentral:sRNA from 1 species